AACGAACGCUGGCGGCAUGCCUAACACAUGCAAGUCGAACGAGACCUUCGGGUCUAGUGGCGCACGGGUGCGUAACGCGUGGGAACCUGCCCUUAGGUUCGGAAUAACUCCCCGAAAGGGGUGCUAAUACCGGAUAAUGUCUUCGGACCAAAGAUUUAUCGCCUUUGGAUGGGCCCGCGUUGGAUUCGCUAGUUGGUAGGGUAAAAGCCUACCAAGGCGACGAUCCAUAGCUGGUCUGAGAGGAUGAUCAGCUACACUGGGACUGAGGCACGGCCCAGACUCCUACGGAAGGCAGCAGUGGAGAAUAUUGGACGAGGGGCGCAAGCCUGAUCCAGCAAUGCCGCGUGAGUGAUGAAGGCCUUAGGGUUGUAAAGCUCUUUUAGCCGGGAUGAUAAUGACAGUACCGGGAGAAUAAGCUCCGGCUAACUCCGUG
rnacentral:rRNA from 1 species